rnacentral:rRNA from 1 species
GACGAACGCUGGCGGCGUGCUUAACACAUGCAAGUCGAACGGAAAGGCCCUGCUUUUGUGGGGUGCUCGAGUGGCGAACGGGUGAGUAACACGUGAGUAACCUGCCCUUGACUUUGGGAUAACUUCAGGAAACUGGGGCUAAUACCGGAUAGGAGCUCCUGCUGCAUGGUGGGGGUUGGAAAGUUUCGGCGGUUGGGGAUGGACUCGCGGCUUAUCAGCUUGUUGGUGGGGUAGUGGCUUACCAAGGCUUUGACGGGUAGCCGGCCUGAGAGGGUGACCGGCCACAUUGGGACUGGGAUUCGGCCCAGACUCCUACGGGAGGCAGCAGGGGGGAAUAUUGCACAAUGGGCGGAAGCCUGAUGCAGCAACGCCGCGUGCGGGAUGACGGCCUUCGGGUUGGAAACCGCUUUCGCCUGUGACGAAGCGUGAGUGACGGUAAUGGGUAAAGAAGCACCGGCUAACUACGUG